GGUGAGAAUCCCGUCCACCGAUUGACUAAGGUUUCCAGAGGAAGGCUCGUCCGCUCUGGGUUAGUCGGGUCCUAAGCUGAGGCCGACAGGCGUAGGCGAUGGAUAACAGGUUGAUAUUCCUGUACCACCUAUAAUCGUUUUAAUCGAUGGGGGGACGCAGUAGGAUAGGCGAAGCGUGCGAUUGGAUUGCACGUCUAAGCAGUAAGGCUGAGUAUUAGGCAAAUCCGGUACUCGUUAAGGC
rnacentral:rRNA from 1 species